UCGGCCUGAAAAAAAAAUAUAUCGGACAGUGCCCCAAAGCUUAUUAUUUUGACUGGAGAGAAUCCGCCCCCAAAAGCGUUAAAAUAAAAACAAUAAUGUCACUAUUGAGGCCAAGGUACGUUCUCUCUGUUCCGUCUUCCAACUUGUUUCUUCUUCGAUUCUUCUCUCAUAAUCACAAUCUUGUUGCUGUUGAGGAUGCUGUUUUCUCAUUCAAUCGCAUGCUCAAUACAAACCCUACCCCUCCCAUCUUCCAAUUCGGCAAGAUAUUAGGUUCCCUCGUUAAGAUCCAACAUUUUCAAACUGCUAUUUCCCUUUCUCAACAAAUGCAACUUAGAGGAAUUCGAACCGACAUUGUUAAUUUGAACAUUUUGAUUAAUUGUUUCUGCCACCUUCGUCAACUCAAUUUUGCAUUUUCUGUAUUAGCCAAGAUUCUCAAACUAGGUUAUCACCCUGAUACAGUAACAAUGAAUACACUUAUCAGAGGUCUCUGUAACAGUGGCAAGCUUGACAAAGCCCUUCACUUUCACGACGACGUUAUAGCGAACGGGUUUCAACUUGAUCAUUUUAGUUACGCGACGUUGAUCGGCGGUUUAUGUAAAAUAGGAGAAACAAAAGCUGCUUUGCAGGUUCUUAAAAAGAUAGAAGGGUCGUUGGUUAAGCCUGACGUGGUAAUGUACAACACAAUCAUUGAUAGUUUGGGAAAGGAUAAACUUGUGAAUGAUGCAUUCGGUUUAUAUUCUGAAAUGAUUGUUAAAGGAAUUUCUCCUGAUAUUAUCACUUAUACUACUUUAGUAAACAGCCUUUGCAUUGUCGGUCAAUUGAAAGAAGCAAUUGGUUUGUUAAAUGAAAUGUUGUUGAAGAAUAUCAGCCCGAAUGUGCGGACUUUCAAUUCCCUGAUUGAUGGUUUGUGUAAGGAAGGAGAGGUGGAAAACGCUAGAGAUGUGUUGGCUGUUAUGAUAAAACAAGGUGUGAAACCUAAUGUUGUUACUUAUACAUCUUUGAUGGAUGGAUAUUUCUUGGUUAAAGAAGUGAACAAGGCUAAACACGUAUUCAACUCUUUUGCUCGAAGAGGAGUGGAACCUAAUAUUCACAGCUACACUGUCAUGAUAGAUGGAUUAUGUAAGAGUAGAAUGGUGGAUGAAGCUGUGAAUCUCUUCAAAGAAUUGCAUUUGAAAAACAUGGCUCCUGAAACUAUAACGUACAAUUCGCUUAUUGAUGGACUUUGUAAAUCGGGGAGAAUCUCUGAUGUUUGGGAUCUUAUAGAUGAGAUGCAUGACAGAGGCCAACCUGCUAAUGUGGUCACUUAUAAUUCUUUAUUGGAUGCUUUGUGCAAAAACCAUAAGGUUGACGAGGCAAUUGCAUUACUAACGAAGAUCAAAGACCAAGGGAUUCGUCCGAGCAUGUAUACAUACACUAUACUUGUUGAUGGACUAUGCAAAAAUGGAAGACUUAAGGAUGCACAAGAGAUUUAUAGGGAUCUUACGAUUAAAGGCUAUGAUUUAGAUGCUAGGAUGUAUACUGUGAUGAUUAAUGGCCUUUGUAAAGAAGGACAUCUGGAGGAAGCAUUGUCCUUAAUGUCACUAAUGGAAGACAACAAUUCCACACCUGAUGUUGUAACAUACGAAACUCUUAUUCGUGCUUUGUUUGAAAACGACAAGAAUGAUAAGGCGGUGAAACUUCUUCGUGAAAUGAUUGCUAGAGGUCUACUACAAGAGUAAAACUAGAAAAUGGCGUACUCACAUAUGUGGUCAGUCUAUAGUCAGAGGAGUUGCCCAUCGGCCGCUAGAUGCUAUGUGAAAACUCGUUCCGCUGUGUUUAUUAGAAGCCGUCGUCCUUCCAUCCUUAAAAUGAUGUUUGUUUGAAGGUUGUAGUUCUGUGUCAUCUUACUAUGCAGUGCGGUUGAUGUUGAUCAGUGACUUGGUACAAGCAACAAUUUAGACUUUUUGAGCAGCAUUUGUGACAAAGCUUGUUGUUUAGGAUUAGAAUAUGUAGAUGCUCCUUAAGUGUAACAACUUCAUGGAUUGAUGAUGUAUUAUACGACUCUUUAGAUUAGUAUUUAUUCAAUGUAUUUAUUGCUGACACUUAUAAAUACAAGUUGUGUGGUCUAAUUAUAGAACAGAAUUUAUAGUUUUGUUGUU